GACGAACGCUGGCGGCGUGCUUAACACAUGCAAGUCGAACGGAAAGGCCCUGCUUUUGUGGGGUGCUCGAGUGGCGAACGGGUGAGUAACACGUGAGUAACCUGCCCUUGACUUUGGGAUAACUUCAGGAAACUGGGGCUAAUACCGGAUAGGAGCUCCUGCUGCAUGGUGGGGGUUAGAAAGUUUCGGCGGUUGGGGAUGGACUCGCGGCUUAUCAGCUUGUUGGUGGGGUAGUGGCUUACCAAGGCUUUGACGGGUAGCCGGCCUGAGAGGGUGACCGGCCACAUUGGGACUGAGAUACGGCCCAGACUCCUACGGGAGGCAGCAGUGGGGAAUAUUGCACAAUGGGCGGAAGCCUGAUGCAGCAACGCCGCGUGCGGGAUGACGGCCUUCGGGUUGUAAACCGCUUUCGCCUGUGACGAAGCGUGAGUGACGGUAAUGGGUAAAGAGGCACCGGCUAACUACGUG
rnacentral:rRNA from 1 species